rnacentral:rRNA from 1 species
ACUGGGCGUAAAGCGCACGCAGGCGGUUUGUUAAGUCAGAUGUGAAAUCCCCGCGCUUAACGUGGGAACUGCAUUUGAAACUGGCAAGCUAGAGUCUUGUAGAGGGGGGUGGAAUUCCAGGUGUAGCGGUGAAAUGCGUAGAGAUCUGGAGGAAUACCGGUGGCGAAGGCGGCCCCCUGGACAAAGACUGACGCUCAGGUGCGAAAGCGUGGGGAGCAAACAGGAUUAGAUACCCUGGUAGUCCACGCUGUAAACGAUGUCGACUUGGAGGUUGUGGUCUUGAACCGUGGCUUCCGGAGCUAACGCGUUAAGUCGACCGCCUGGGGAGUACGGCCGCAAGGUUAAAACUCAAAUGAAUUGACGGGGGCCCGCACAAGCGGUAAUCG